CUGAUUUCAUUUGGUGGCAUAGAUGUUUGUAACUAGUCUCUAGCACCAUAUGAAAUCAGUG
rnacentral:pre_miRNA from 1 species